CCUACGGGCGGCAGCAGUGAGGAAUAUUGGUCAAUGGCCGAGAGGCUGAACCAGCCAAGUCGCGUGAGGGAAGACGGCCCUACGGGUUGUAAACCUCUUUUGUCGGGGAGCAAAGCGAGUCACGUGUGACUCAUUGAGAGUACCCGAAGAAAAAGCAUCGGCUAACUCCGUGCCAGCAGCCGCGGUAAUACGGAGGAUGCGAGCGUUAUCCGGAUUUAUUGGGUUUAAAGGGUGCGCAGGCGGAGGUGCAAGUCCGCGGUCAAAUUGCGGGGCUCAACCCCGUACUGCCGUUGAAACUGCAGCCCUUGAGUGCGCGAGGAGUAUGCGGAAUGCGUGGUGUAGCAGUGAAAUGCAUAGAUAUCACGCAGAACUCCGAUUGCGAAGGCAGCAUACCGGCGCGCAACUGACGCUCAUGCACGAAAGCGUGGGUAUCGAACAGGAUUAGAUACCCCAGUAGUC
rnacentral:rRNA from 1 species